rnacentral:snoRNA from 1 species
GGCAUCCUGGUGCUUAACACAGGCUGUGUUCUUACACUUACUGUAUAACAAGAGGAGGCAAAGUGAAUCUACCCCAUAUACACAUCAUCCCCUGCCCUGUGUCUGGUCUAUAUUGUGAAUGGGGAGACAUGG